rnacentral:rRNA from 1 species
GACAGAGGGUGCAAGCGUUGUUCGGAAUUAUUGGGCGUAAAGCGCACGUAGGCGGCGACGUAAGUCGGAUGUGAAAGCCCUGGGCUCAACCGAGGAAGUGCAUCCGAUACUGCGUUGCUUGAGUGCCGGAGAGGGUGGUGGAAUUCCCAGUGUAGAGGUGAAAUUCGUAGAUAUUGGGAGGAACACCAGUGGCGAAGGCGGCCACCUGGACGGACACUGACGCUGAGGUGCGAAAGCGUGGGUAGCAAACAGG